AUGCCGGGUGCCCGUGGUGAAGCUGGAAAGUCUGCACCUGCGGGGCGAGGGGUCAGUACACAGGCUGAGGCUCGUGUGCGCACGGUGAAGACCAGCACUCCUGGAAGAGAACAGCAGCCAUCCCAGCGACAGCGCAAGGACCCGGCUCCUCCUCCUCCUCCUUCGAGAACAGCUGACUUAGUUUCAGGAAAACCAGCCACAGCCAGCUUCUCCAGGAAGAUCAAUGGCAGCACCUUCCCGCCCAUUCUCCUGUAUGCCCUUGGCAACAGUCCUCACCCAGAGAACGUCGUGCCUGGCAAUCCUAAGCACUGCUGGAUGGAUGGAUGAACAAACGGGAAGAUGGACUGGGCCAGAUUCUCAGAGUGUUUAAGCAGGACACGAGCAUGCCUGUGCUUCUGCCCCGCAGACAUUUACCCGGGACUUCUGCCUAACGGUUGACUGCCAUGCCUACGUGUGGAAUUCGGUCCGUUGAUGUCUCCUAGAAACACUGCUGCUAGUGCUGCUGCUGCUGCUGCUGUGUGCUCUUCCUUCGGCUUCCAUGAGCUCCUUGACUGGCAGUGUCCCCAGGGCUCCAUUUGUCGCUUGGCUGCAGGCACUGGGUGCUGGUCUACAAGCUCCCCCUGGGCCCGGCGCCCUUUCUCACUGUGCAGCAGCAGAGGGCAUUGUCUAGGUACAGCUGCCAACGGUGGACUGCAGAAAGCGUAAUGCUGAGUCACUGCCCAUCAGCGAGCACUGUACGGGUUAAGGAGUAAUCUGGGAUGGGAGCGGCUGCCCAGAGGUGAACUGCGUCACUGCUUGUCAUUUCCACCCUACAAGAAGGAGUGUAUAGGGCUGGUCAGAAAAUAGGUGUGGGGCGGGGGAUUCAGCUCAGUGGUUCUGGUGCCUGCCUCCCAAGUGCAAGGCCCAGAGUUGAUCCCCAGUACCAAAAAGCAAAGCAAAACAAAUAUGGUGUGUUUCAAAUAAAAGAAAAAUUAUUGCAAUAAAAGACACAUUGGCAUCAAUCCCCCUCAGAAUCCUCCCCCUCACUUUGAACACACUUAUCCCAUUUUCUUGCCGCUUUCUGAAGCAGUUCUGGAGUCCUCUUUCAUGAGUGUCUUUACAAGGUGUAAUAAAAAAUAUGAGGAAUGCUGAUGCUGAGUGUCAUCCAACGGAAAACAUAAAAACACCACAGUGUGUUCUCAUCUACUUCAUUCACCACACCCAGCACUGUGGGACUUUUGGUUCUUCUCAAAAGUCAAAAUGACCAUGAAAGACGAACAGUUUGAUUCAAUUCAGGGCACUGAGGCAGACACAACAGUACAACUAGAAAAAUUCAUGAAAGAGGACUCGAAAACUGCUUCAGAAAGGAACAAGAAAAUGGAAUAAAUGUGUUUAAAGUAAGGGCAAGUGUGUUGAGAGGGAUUCAUAGCAAUGUAUCUUUUAUUAUAGUAAAUUUUUUAAAACUUAAAAAUUCAUAUUUUAAUGAUACUUCAAACAUCAUAUUAACUUUAUUCACUUCAUAGAUGUAUUACAUUGGGGUGCAGCUCUGUGGCAGAUCGCUUGCCGAACACAUACAAGAUAGCUCGAGAGUCAAUCCCCAACCCUGAAAAAAAUUACCUCAAAUGCUAAUGACAUUCGAUGGACUCCAAAACAUUUUUAAAUGAAAAAAUUGGAAGAGAUAAUUAAUAAGGAUUCGUCUAGCUUUUUGAUGAGCGUAUGAAGUCUUUGCAAGCUCUUACUGUUUCUCCAGGUGAGUCCUAUCUCCAUACAUGGUCACAAUUUCCUUCCCUGUCACCAGAAGGAACCGCACUCACCUGUGUGCCGUCAGAACAGCUCAAACAUCCAUCACACAGGCUGCCCGAGCCUGAGGGGAGCUGCUGCUUCAAGACGUUUGCUGUUCCUCAGCCUUGCUCAUGAUUUGCUAGGAGGUCGUCAUGCUGUCCUUCUGUGCUUCCCUCCGGUCCCAGACAGACCUGUUACUGGUCCACACUGCUCUGCACCCAUGGUCCCGUCUGCCCUGCUCUUCCCCUCCUUCGCCACCAUGCCCUUUUCUCGUCUCUCCUUGUCAAGCUCUUGCUCAGAUUCCCAAUUUCUAGGCUAGCGCUGACAUUCUCUGUCACCUUGUUUUUUGCUAUUCUUAUAUAGGAUUCUGUUUCUUUAUUAGUGCAUGUUGAUUACACCAAAUAAUGGGUGUCACCGCGGCAUAUUCAUGUGCACAUCCAUCCCCAUCAUACUUCAGUCAGGUCUGUCCCAGAGCCUUCUUCACCUCCCUCCAUCCCUUCCUCUCCUCUGUCUUCUUUCCAGAAGUCUGUGUUCUUUCACAUCAUCUCUUUUUUCUAUGCAUGAAAGAAAACAUGUGAUACUUGUCUUUCUGUAUCUAACUUACUUUACUCAACAUGUUGAUCUUCAGUUCUAUUUUUUUACAAAUGACAUAAUUUCAUUCCUCACUGUGACUGACUAAAGCUCCAUCGUGUAUGGAUUUCACUGUUUCUCCAGUCAUCUGUUGAAGGGGCAUCCAGGCUGGUUCCGUAACUUGGCGAUGUGACUUGUGCUGCAGCAAACAUGGAUGUGCAGGUAUCUCCACAGUAUGCUGACUUUAAUUCCUUUGAGUACAUACCUAGGAGGGAGGUAGUUGGAUCAUACUGUAGUUUUUUUUUUUUUUUGGUUUUUAAUAUGAGUUCUAUAAAUACCUGAGUCCUGUGAUUUCCUUAUUUGCUUUGCAGUUCAUUUGCUUGGGAGGUGUGGGAAGAUUGUCUUAAAAAGGUGAAUUCCUCAUAUGACAGAGUCUGGCCACAGUGGGAUCUGAUCACACAAACGACCCAGGUGUUCUGAUGAAAGUUGCUGUCCACGCUUCAGGCAGUGUUUAGGAUUUAAAUGAAUGAGCUUCAGGGGAUCUGUGAACCUUCAGAAUUUUUUUACAUUCUAUAUCUUUAUGUCCAUUUGUAUUUUUCUAAGGGAAGGUUUCCUAACUUUCAACAGACUAUUAAAGGAGCCUGUGUCAGAAUUUUUUAAAAAGCAAUCUAUUAAACCAUUAAAUGAGGGUUUCAGAUAAAAGAAAACUUCUUUGUUAUUUGAGGACUAAAACAUAAAUUCAAUAUUGAGGUCUGAUACAUACAUUUUACUGUACAGGGUACUUUGAGACAUCACACACACAGAUCAUGCCUUUCAGAUUGGCUAAGGACACAUGCACACCUGGGCUGCUUUGUUUCAAGGUCUAGAGCCCCAAGGCCUAGCAUCAAAGAGGCGGCACGUGUCUAUCAUGUUGGAGGGCCGAAUUCCAUCCGCGAUUUUCAUGAAAUCAGUAGCUAGAGGAUUAAGAGUCUUGUCUGCAGAUUCUGCCUGGAAAAGAGACAGCCCUGAAGUGUAAACAGUUUUGUGCACCAAGAUCAGUGUAGAGCCUGGUCUCUCAUUCAUCAUGUUCUGGCUCUGUAAUUCUAGACACGUCAUUAGUAUUCCUGGGCUUCUGACGAUGGACUUCUUAUAGCAAUAGUGAUCUUUCUGCCAGGACAUAGGAUCCUAUGAUAUCAUGAGGCUCCCCAGAAUAUAGGCAUGGAUGCAGGUAUACAUACACACAAACCUAUAUACGUAUAUAUGCACACAUACAUAAGAUAUGUAUAAGUGGUGAAGCCCAACCGACCUCCAUUGCUGCUUGACAAAGUUCCAGCUGGGGGAAAGAAAGCAGGGAACACAUCGUACCCUCAUGUUUUAUUUUUUUCUUGCCAUAAUGUUUAUAAUUGUUACUCUGAUCACAGGAGUCAUUGUGUUUGUGACUAACAACAAACUCUCCAUGAGGCAAAUUGGCAAUGAUAUAUUGAAAUCUGAUCUGGCUCAAAAGUCUCAAAUUCCAGUUUCUCUUAGUUCUAUUGCCACAUCCACUCCUAAAGAAACCUCUCCUAAAACCCCCUCUGUUUUCCCACUA
rnacentral:lncRNA from 1 species